rnacentral:rRNA from 1 species
AGCGAACGCUGGCGGCGUGCUUAACACAUGCAAGUCGAACGAGAACGGAAUAUAGCUUGCUAUAUUUGUCAGCUAAGUGGCGCACGGGUGAGUAAUGUAUAGAUAAUCUGCCCUUAAGAAAGGAAUAACAGUUGGAAACGACUGCUAAUGCCCUAUAUGCCUUUAAUACAUAAGUAUGCAAGGGAAACGCUUUAGUGCUUAAGGAUGGGUCUGUAUGGUAUCAGCUUGUUGGUGAGGUAAUGGCUCACCAAGGCUAUGACGCCUAACUGGUUUGAGAGGAUGAUCAGUCACACUGGAACUGAGACACGGUCCAGACUCCUACGGGAGGCAGCAGUGGGGAAUAUUGCACAAUGGACGAAAGUCUGAUGCAGCAACGCCGCGUGGAGGAUGACACAUUUCGGUGCGUAAACUCCUUUUAUAUAGGAAGAUAAUGACGGUACUAUAUGAAUAAGCACCGGCUAACUCCGUGCCAGCAGCCGCGGUAA